rnacentral:misc_RNA from 1 species
GAUGAAGAACGUAGCGAAAUGCGAUAAGUAAUGUGAAUUGCAGAAUUCAGUGAAUCAUCGAAUCUUUGAACGCACAUUGCGCCCGCCAGUAUUCUGGCGGGCAUGCCUGUCCGAGCGUCAUUUCAACCCUCGAACCCCUCCGGGGGGUCGGCGUUGGGGAUCGGCCCUGCCUUUGGCGGUGGCCGUCUCCGAAAUACAGUGGCGGUCUCGCCGCAGCCUCUCCUGCGCAGUAGUUUGCACACUCGCAUCGGGAGCGCGGCGCGUCCACAGCCGUUAAACACCCAACUUCUGAAAUGUUGACCUCGGAUCAGGUAGGAAUACCCGCUGAACUUAAGAAUAUCAAUAAGCGGAGGA